GAUGAAGAACGCAGCGAAAUGCGAUAAGUAGUGUGGAUUGCAGAAUUUAGUGAAUCAUCGAAUCUUUGAACGCACAUUGCGCCCUAUAGUAUUCUGUAGGGCAUGCCUGUUCGAGCGUUAUUGAGACCUCAAGCUCUGCUUGGAAAUGGGCGCUUGUCUUGCCUUGCAGACUCGCAUUAAAACCAUUGGCAGCUGAUUUACAAUGUUUGGUGCACAGUACAUGAGCCCAAGUGUUGCAAUGAGUGGCCCAAAAGUAUACAAUAGAAGCUUAACCUCGGAUCAGGUAGGGAUACCCGCUGAACUUAAGCAUAUCAAUAAGCGGAGGA
rnacentral:misc_RNA from 1 species